GACGAACGCUGGCGGCGUGCCUAAUACAUGCAAGUGGGACGCAAGGGAACACACUGUGCUUGCACACCGUGUUUUCUUGAGUCGCGAACGGGUGAGUAACGCGUAGGUAACCUGCCUAUUAGCGGGGGAUAACUAUUGGAAACGAUAGCUAAUACCGCAUAAUAUUAAUUAUUGCAUGAUAAUUGAUUGAAAGAUGCAAGCGCAUCACUAGUAGAUGGACCUGCGUUGUAUUAGCUAGUUGGUAAGGUAAGAGCUUACCAAGGCGACGAUACAUAGCCGACCUGAGAGGGUGAUCGGCCACACUGGGACUGAGACACGGCCCAGACUCCUACGGGAGGCAGCAGUAGGGAAUCUUCGGCAAUGGACGAAAGUCUGACCGAGCAACGCCGCGUGAGUGAAGAAGGUUUUCGGAUCGUAAAAGCUCUGUUGUAAAGUCAAAGAAACGUGUG
rnacentral:rRNA from 1 species